rnacentral:rRNA from 1 species
GAUGAACGCUAGCGGCAGGCCUAAUACAUGCAAGUCGAACGGGAUCUGAGGGUAGCUUGCUACCCGAUUUGAGAGUGGCGCACGGGUGCGUAACGCGUGAGCAACCUACCCAUAUCAGGGGGAUAGCCCGAAGAAAUUCGGAUUAACACCGCAUAAUAAUACGCUAACACAUGUUGAUGUAUUUAAAUAUUUAUAGGAUAUGGAUGGGCUGGCGUGACAUUAGCUAGUUGGUAAGGUAACGUCUUACCAAGGCGACGAUGUCUAGGGGCUCUGAGAGGAGAAUCCCCCACACUGGUACUGAGACACGGACCAGACUCCUACGGGAGGCAGCAGUAAGGAAUAUUGGUCAAUGGGCGCAAGCCUGAACCAGCCAUGCCGCGUGCAGGAUGACUGCCCUAUGGGUUGUAAACUGCUUUUGUUAGGGAAUAAACCUUCUUCCGUGUAAGGAGCUGAAUGUACCUAAAGAAUAAGGAUCGGCUAACUCCGUGCCAGCCGCCGCAGUAA